AGAACGAACGCUGGCGGCAUGCCUAAUACAUGCAAGUCGAACGAACUCUUCGGAGUUAGUGGCGCACGGGUGCGUAACGCGUGGGAAUCUGCCCCUUGGUUCGGAAUAACAGUUGGAAACGACUGCUAAUACCGGAUGAUGACGAAAGUCCAAAGAUUUAUCGCCAAGGGAUGAGCCCGCGUAGGAUUAGCUAGUUGGUGAGGUAAAGGCUCACCAAGGCAACGAUCCUUAGCUGGUCUGAGAGGAUGAUCAGCCACACUGGGACUGAGACACGGCCCAGACUCCUACGGGGAGCAGCAGUAGGGAAUAGUUGGACAAUGGGCGAAAGCCUGAUCCAG
rnacentral:rRNA from 1 species